GUCUGCAACUCGACUACAUGAAGCUGGAAUCGCUAGUAAUCGCGGAUCAGAAUGCCGCGGUGAAUACGUUCCCGGGUCUUGUACACACCGCCCGUCACACCAUGGAGUCGAUAACGCCCGAAGUCAGUGACCCAACCUGUAAGGAGGGAGCUGCCGAAGGCGGGAUUGAUAACUGGGGUGAAGUCGUAACAAGGUACC
rnacentral:rRNA from 1 species